AGGGAUUUAGCUCAGCGGCAUAAGCACCUGCCUUGCAAGCAGGUGGUCGUGAGUUCGAUUCCCAGUACCAA
rnacentral:tRNA from 1 species